CCGGCCGGCCGCAGCAUGGCUCACUGGCCCGGCGCGCUGAUGCUCAAGUGAGUGGUGGUCGGCGACGGGGCGGUGGGCAAGACGUGCCUACUCAUGAGCUAUGCCAACGACGCCUUCCCGGAGGAGUACGUGCCCACCGUCUUCGACCACUACGCAGUCAGCGUCACCGUGGGGGCAAGCAGUACCUCCUCGGACUCUACGACACGGCCGGACAGGAAGACUAUGACCGUCUGAGGCCUUUAUCUUACCCAGUGACCGACGUCUUCCUUAUAUGCUUCUCGGUGGUAAAUCCAGCCUCAUUUCAAAAUGUGAAAGAGGAGUGGGUACCGGAACUUAAGGAAUACGCACCAAAUGUACCCUUUUUAUUAAUAGGAACUCAGAUUGAUCUCCGAGAUGACCCCAAAACUUUAGCAAGACUGAAUGAUAUGAAAGAAAAACCUAUAUGUGUGGAACAAGGACAGAAACUAGCAAAAGAGAUAAGAACAUGCUGCUAUGUGGAAUGUUCAGCUUUAACCCCGAAGGGAUUGAAGACUGUUUUUGAUGAGGCUAUCAUAGCCAUUUUAACUCCAAAGAAACACACAGUAAAAAAAAGAAUAGGAUCAAGAUGUAUAAACUGUUGUUUAAUUACAUGAGAAACAUCUUCAGUGGCCAAGGAAACUGUCUAUUUCUCUCAGAAAGCAUAUGAAAUGCUACCCAGACCUUUUAUAGCUAAUGAAGCAGUUCAAAACUUGAAAGAAAACAAAACCUGUCCUUAGAAUUCUAUAAAGUUUAUUACGAAUACUCCUUAAAAGUCUAAAAGCAGUAAACAGCAUCUGAAGCCACAAUCUAUUAUAAAUACUUUAUUUCGACUAGAAGGUACAAUCUCUCAGGGGUUUCAUAAUUUAAAAAGCUACAAUCACAUCAUGUUGUAACUACAUAAAAAACAGUGCUGUAAAUGGAACUGCUUGGCUUUGACCAUACACAUUUCUGCACAGCCCUUACGGAAUCUGCACAAAGAAAUAUCUCCCUUUGCUCCAGUUAAUUGUUCUUGUAUGUAAGUUGCUUUCUAUUCCAGUAUAUCUAGAGUGGUGAAAUAACAAGGCCAGCCACGUAGCCAAAGGUCGCUCCAAGCGUACAGGAGAUGGGCCUUACCUGAGAAGAGAAUGUAUGAGAUCAAAAAAGAACAAAUGUUUCAUUAUUACUUGAGCACAAGUGUAACCGAAAUAUUUCUAUAUUAAAGCUUACUGUGCUUUCUUAAAGAAUGCCAAAAGUGUAAUAAGGUCAUAAUUGCAUUUAUCAUGAACACUAAAAAUGUACACAUUUUAGUUAAUGUGCAUUAAACUGUAACAAG